rnacentral:rRNA from 1 species
UACGUAGGGGGCAAGCGUUGUCCGGAUUUAUUGGGCGUAAAGAGCGUGUAGGCGGUCUGGUAGGUCCGUUGUGAAAACUCGAGGCUCAACCUCGAGACGCCGAUGGAAACCCUCAGACUAGAGUCCGGAAGAGGAGAGUGGAAUUCCUGGUGUAGCGGUGAAAUGCGUAGAUAUCGGGAGGAACACCUGUGGCGAAAGCGGCUCACUGGACCACAACUGACGCUGAGGCGCGAAAGCUAGGGGAGCAAACAGG